UACGAAGGGGGCUAGCGUUGCUCGGAAUGACUGGGCGUAAAGGGCGCGUAGGCGGAUUGGUCAGUCAGAUGUGAAAUUCCUGGGCUUAACCUGGGGGCUGCAUUUGAGACGGCUGAUCUAGAGUUUGGAAGAGGGUCGUGGAAUUCCCAGUGUAGAGGUGAAAUUCGUAGAUAUUGGGAAGAACACCGGUGGCGAAGGCGGCGACCUGGUCCUUGACUGACGCUGAUGCGCGAAAGCGUGGGGAG
rnacentral:rRNA from 1 species